UACGGAGGGUGCUAGCGUUGUUCGGAAUUACUGGGCGUAAAGGGCUCGUAGGCGGCCAACUAAGUCAGAUGUGAAAUCCCUAGGCUCAACCUAGGAACUGCGUCUGAUACUGGAUGGCUUGAAUCCGGGAGAGGGAUGCAGAAUUCCAGGUGUAGCGGUGAAAUGCGUAGAUAUCUGGAGGAAUACCGGUGGCGAAGGCGGCAUCCUGGACCGGCAUUGACGCUGAGGAGCGAAAGCUAGGGGAGCAAACGGG
rnacentral:rRNA from 1 species